CCUCUCAAAAACUCAUCUUUAUACAAGAAUUCAACUAUAGAUCCAUAUAUCCAUCUUCAACAUAUAUAUGAAGUCUUGGAUCCUAAAAUACUACUUUAUUUUGUAUAAAAUACUCAAGUUAUAAUAAAAUCCCUUCAAAAUAUAAUAUUCCAAUAAAAGAUUUCUUCUUUCCGAACUUUAGAAAUUCAUAUCUCUUGAUCCAACUAUUCACAUUUUUUUAAAUUCAUAUAUAUUAUAGAAUUCACUCUUAAGCUUUAUCUUACAAAAAUCCAACUAUAAAUUCACUAUCAAUAGUCUAGCAUCUUAAAAAUCCUAGCAAGUGCUCUAAAAUCCUAAUUCACAAGCACCUAAGUACUAUUUUCUUCAUAUCUCACAAAUCCAAAAUUUAAAUGUCACAAAACUUAUGUACAAAAUUAAAAA
rnacentral:lncRNA from 1 species